UUACGUGCAUCCUAGUACGGCGAGUGAAGAGGGAAAAGCUCAAAGUUGGAACCUGGCUGCCCUAGGCAGUCCGGAUUGUAAACUAAAGAGCGUGAUUCCAGGCAAGCCGGUUGACCAAGUCCUUUGGAAUGAGGCGCCACUGAGGGUGAGAGCCCCGUAAGUCGACUGAGCAUUUGUCUUUUGUGCUUCGCGUUCAAAGAGUCAGGUUGUUUGGGAAUGCAGCCUAAAGCUGGUGGUAAAUCCCACCUAAAGCUAAAUACAGGCGAGAGACCGAUAGCGAACAAGUACCGUGAGGGAAAGAUGAAAAGAACUUUGAAAAGAGAGUUAAACAGUAUGUGAAAUUGCCAAGAGGGAAGCAUUUGGAGUUAGAUUGACUAGGAGUUAAUCAGCUUGGUCUUUGGACUGGGUGUACUUGACUUCUUACAGUCUGCCAAUAGCAGUUAGUCCUAGUGGAAAAAACCAGAGGGAAGGUAGUCCUUCGGGAUGUUUAUAGACCUUUGGAAAAUACACUGGGAUUGACUGAGGAAUGCAGUAGAUGCCACUAAGGCUUCGUCUAGUGGGUGCUAGGCAAAGGUACUUGGUAUUUUCAGCUUGCUGAUGUGCUAGGUUACUCGAGUCUAGUCGCCUACUAGAACUGUAAUCUACUUUGGUUAUUGGGCUUAAUGACUCUAAAUGGCCCGUCUUGAACACCGGGAACCAAAA
rnacentral:rRNA from 1 species